rnacentral:rRNA from 1 species
GACGAAGGAUGCAAGCGUUAUCCGGAUUCAUUGGGUUUAAAGGGAGCGUAGGUGGACUUGUAAGUCAGUGGUGAAAUCUUUGGGCUUAACCCAGAAACUGCCAUUGAUACUGCAGGUCUAGAGUACAGUUGCCGUUGGCGGAAUAUGACAUGUAGUGGUGAAAAUACUUAGAUAUGUCAUAGAACACCGAUUGCGAAGGCAGCUAACGAAGCUGUAACUGACACUGAGGCUCGAAAGUGCGGGGAUCAAACAGG